AGGAGGCCCGCGGGAGCGGCGGGCUUGGUGGGUCUCGGCCAAAGGCGUGGCCCCGCGCCCCCUGAGGAAACAAGCGCCUAAGUGGUCGCACGGGCAAAUAGCCGGUUCCUAGCGCCCUAACCAGCCUCCCAGGCCGAGCGACCCAAACAGUGCAGGCCUUAUCUAGGCCUCGGGCCCCGGAAGGCAGCCGAGAAGGGACAAAACGUCUCGCCUCAGUGUCGAAGGCCCGUAUUCCAACAACCGCGGGCCCCAAGCGUCGAGGUCUGGAGUCCGUGCGGCCUAAGGCAAACAGGCCAGCGUCCAAGCCCAAGAUGCCCAUCCCCAGCUGGGAGCUGUUUAUUUAUGGCUGCAAAUGUGUGCGUGCGAGAGAGAGGGAGAAUUGAUCUUUGCCUGGACUUAAAGAUGGAGCCGAAGGCGCUGGAGGGAAUUUGGGUUUACGCGCCUAGCUCAGACCGGGGCGCUGAAGGGGGCCGUUUGGCACGAAGCCCGAGGUCGCUCUUUUCCGCACCCCUCACCUCGCGACCUUUCAGGAAUCUGAGGGGUCCUGAAGCGGCCUGGCUGACCCACCUCCCCGGGGCCGAGCUUCGAGAAAGGCUUCAUGGAGGGAGCCAUCCCGUCCCUGUCUUUAAAAUGAGCGCAAUAAAAGGGGGCAAAUCCUCAAACGUGAACCUGAUCACUUGUCACAGAAGCAACUUGCCAUGAAAUCCGCUAAUGCGCCGCGACUCGCCCACCCGGAUAGAUAACCCCCGCAGUGGUGUAACCAGCGCGCGCGCCCAAAGCCGUCUUGUCCCUCGAAUGCGCUCACCGCCGGCAACACUUGGAGAAUCCAGCCCACAGUGGUUUCGAAAACCCCAUUUUCCUGAUUGCAGCUCAGACUGUGGAACCCCGAGAGCCUCCCCAAAGAGGGAGCGUGAAUCGGGCCAAGUAGUGGGUCGGGGACACACACGCACGCACGCACGCAUAUGCACACAGAGGCAGAGCAGUGCUUCAUAGGACCUAAGAUCCAGGGUGGCUGGAAAGGGAUCUGGGAGGCCACGUCUGAAGGAGCCAGCAAGGCCCUGGUGCUGCCUCUGCCAGAGUCGUGCAGCCACUGAAGCAGCCUGAUCCUGAUAGUUAUUUUGGGGGGAAAAACACCUGGAACCCAGGUUUGAGCUAAAGAAAGUAAGGGCAAGUGACAGAUGAUCAAGCAUUUCUUUGAAAUGAGGAAGAACUGAGAACUACCCAGCUGGCCUGGCCUUAGGGCAAACUGGACCUUAGGAAACUACUCUCUUCGCACACACAGCAGCACACAUCCUCCGAUGGCAAGUUCACCGGUGCCCAGCAAGGGCCACUGCACCUCCUAACUGCUUUUUCAGCCUCCUCCAGGUUUUGCCAGGCAAAUGAAACAAGAACUCAAUAGUAAAUUAUUUUGUUCAGACUUCUGUCUUUUUAUGAAAAUAAAAGGCAACACUUUGUCA
rnacentral:lncRNA from 1 species